CGCGAACUUAUCCAAGUUGCUUCGGCGGCGCGGCUCCCCUCACAGGGCGCCGCAGCCCCGCCUCUCAGGAGGUAUGGGGCGCCCGCCGGAGGUACGAAACUCUGUAUUAUAGUGGUAUCUCUGAGUAAAAAACAAAUAAGUUAAAACUUUCAACAACGGAUCUCUUGGUUCUGGCAUCGAUGAAGAACGCAGCGAAAUGCGAUAAGUAAUGUGAAUUGCAGAAUUCAGUGAAUCAUCGAAUCUUUGAACGCACAUUGCGCCCGCUAGUACUCUAGCGGGCAUGCCUGUUCGAGCGUCAUUUCAACCCUCAAGCUCUGCUUGGUGUUGGGGCCCUACGGCUGCCGUAGGCCCUGAAAGGAAGUGGCGGGCUCGCUACAACUCCGAGCGUAGUAAUUCAUUAUCUCGCUAGGGAGGUGCAGCGUGCUCCUGCCGUUAAAGACCCCAUCUUUAACCAAGGUUGA
rnacentral:rRNA from 1 species